GAUGAACGCUGGCGGCGUGCCUAAUACAUGCAAGUCCAGCGAACAGACGAGGAGCUUGCUCCUCUGACGUUAGCGGCGGACGGGUGAGUAACACGUGGAUAACCUACCUAUAAGACUGGGAUAACUUCGGGAAACCGGAGCUAAUACCGGAUAACAUGUUGAACCGCAUGGUUCAACAGUGAAAGACGGUUUUGCUGUCACUUAUAGAUGGAUCCGCGUCGCAUUAGCUAGUUGGUAAGGUAACGGCUUACCAAGGCAACGAUGCGUAGCCGACCUGAGAGGGUGAUCGGCCACACUGGAACUGAGACACGGUCCAGACUCCUACGGGAGGCAGCAGUAGGGAAUCUUCCGCAAUGGGCGAAAGCCUGACGGAGCAACGCCGCGUGAGUGAAGAAGGUCUUCGGAUCGUAAAACUCUGUUAUUAGGGAAGAACAAAUGUGUAAGUAACUAUGCACGUCUUGACGGUACCUAAUCAGAAAGCCACGGCUAACUACGUG
rnacentral:rRNA from 1 species